rnacentral:lncRNA from 1 species
GGGGUCAUUACUGAGUGGAAGGAUGUCCCUAUGGAGCUUCUGCUGCGGAUUGUUGCGCUCGUCGAUGAUCGGACAGUGAUUAUGGCUUCUGGGGUGUGCAGUGGAUGGAGAGAUGCUAUUUGCUUGGGCCUUACCCAUCUCUCCCUUUCUUGGUAAUUGUUUCUUUUACCCUUCUUUCUCUCUGUAUGAUCAUAUACUUGUUUAUCUUUCCGUUUCUCAAUCCGUGUUUUGAGAAGCUUUCUAUACGAUGAUCGUGUGCGUGCGUGCUUUUUUGUCUAUCCAAGGAAAGGGAAAAAAAAGGGCUUUGUAUUUGGUUCUACUUUUUUAUUAUGGGAUCGCAAGGGUAGGGCUUAUGCAAAUUUGAAAAGAAUAGAAUGGAAUCAGAAAAAGGGGUAAAGAGAAACAAGAAUGGAAGGAAAGAGAAGAAUUUUUUUUAGGAUGGUUGGAGAUUCCAGUAUGGUUUUGCUAAGAUUUGAAGGGAUGCUCCAAGUUCUGCAUAUAUCGAAUGUUUAUGGAGCCCCAUGAAGGUGGCUUUUGGGUGCCAAUUGUUUCCUUAUUUUUAAGUGGAAAGUGAACCAAAGGAUCCUCCUCUAUUUUUUCACUAUCUAUUUUUAUUUUAAUUGGAAAAAUUUGAGCUUUCACUACCACAUCCCAUUUUCAUGAUCCAUCUUUUCUGUGAUCACAUGUCUCUGUUGUUCGAAGUUUCAAAUUAUUGGAACACGAUAUGCAUUCCUUAAAAUUCUGUUUGGCUGAGAAAUAGUAAGGGAAAGGAAAAAUUGGGAUCUGGUAACAUCUUGAGAUUGAAGUGGAUGUUCGAUUCUGUCAUCUUUUUUGUUGUGAUAUCUUACCAAGCAAACAAGGCAUCAGUUGUUAAUGAUUUAGCUAUAAGUGGGACUAUGGUAAACUUUAUGGUUUAAAUUGCCUAUUAUGAAGGGUGUGUGUUAUUAAGCAUGUGGUAUUGGUUAGUAUUUGGUUAAUUAUGGUUUGGGGCAGUUGGAUGUGUUAUGGUUUUUGUAUAUGCAUACAAUUUUAUGGCCAAUUCUGGGUUAUGGAGUUUGCUUAGGGAUCUAUGGUUCAAGCCCAAGUCAACUAAUCUAACCAUUUUAGUUCAGGCGUCUUAAUAUCUUGUACGGUAUAGUUUACCUUAUUGUCUACCUCUUAAUUUACUCUGUACUUUUCACCUUGUUGGAUGACGGUUUCUGCUUGUCACACUUCAUCCUUAUUACUCACUACCUUAUAUUUACUCUAUUUAGGUGCAAAAACAAC